rnacentral:rRNA from 1 species
UACGUAGGGUCCGAGCGUUGUCCGGAAUUAUUGGGCGUAAAGGGCUCGUAGGCGGUCUGUCGCGUCGGGAGUGAAAACUCAGGGCUCAACCCUGAGCGUGCUUCCGAUACGGGCAGACUAGAGGUAUGCAGGGGAGAACGGAAUUCCUGGUGUAGCGGUGGAAUGCGCAGAUAUCAGGAGGAACACCGGUGGCGAAGGCGGUUCUCUGGGACGGUACUGACGCUGAGACGCGAAAGCGUGGGGAGCGAACAGG